rnacentral:rRNA from 1 species
GACGAACGCUGGCGGCGUGCUUAACACAUGCAAGUCGAACGGACAGGCCCUGCUUUUGUGGGGUUCUCGAGUGGCGAACGGGUGAGUAACACGUGAGUAACCUGCCCUUGUCUUUGGGAUGACUUCCGUCAACUGGGGCUAAUACCGGAUAGGAGCUCCUGCUCCAUGGUGGGGGUUGUAAAGUUUCGGCGGUUUGGUAUGGACUCGCGGCGUAUCAGCUUGUUGUUGGGUUAGUGGCUUACCAAGGCUUCGACGGGUAGCCGGACUGAGAGGGUGAGAGGCCACAUUGGGACUGAGGGAAGGCACAGACACGUAAGGGAGGGAGAAGGGGGGAAGAUUGCAGAAUGGGCGGAAGCCUGAUGCAGAAACGCCGCGUGCGGGAUGACGGCCUUCGGGGUGUAAACCGCUUUCGCCAGUGACGAAGCGUGAGUGAAGGUAAUGGGUAAAGAAGCACCGGCUAACUACGGG